CCAAAGUAAAUUCGCGACAGAAAGGAAAGCAUCAGACUUGGAGAUAACCCCAUUACCCAGUAACGACAAAGCUUUGAAAAGAAGAAGCCAAGAUCCACCUCGAACCUCUCUCCAUUGCUGACUUUCCAAUCUCUCCGACACUUCUGAAUCCUAGGACAAAAAAAAAGGAGAGAAACAGGGGAAAGUUUGAGUAAAAAUCCUACCUUUGUGCACUCUGAUCUUCCCUUCCUCGGGAAAGAUCUAGUACUUGCGAAGAAUUAGCUCACUGUACGGGCAAAUUGUGAACAGGGUUUGAGCCGAAUCGGCCUGACAAUGAGGGAGGACGAUGGUAACUGGUUCCUGAAAUGGGAAUUGGAGCUUCCAUCGCCUGAAGAGCUCACGCCCUUGACUCAAUCCCUGAUCACCCCUGAUCUCGCUCUUGCUUUCGACAUCAGAAGCGGCCCUCCCUCGAGCAAUCACUCAAUCUCCGUCAUCAGCGCCAAACAACCACCACCCCCGCUGCCGCCGCACCUGAGUUCCUCCAAUCACGAUUUGAAGCCCGGUGCCACGGGGGGGCGCCACCCUGGCCCGGUUGAUUUCGCUGAUUCGGGGGAUUUGGCGUCUGGGGGACCAGCGGGCGGAGGCGGGGACGAGCCAGCCCGGACCCUCAAGCGGCCGCGGCUGGUGUGGACACCCCAGCUGCACAAGAGGUUUGUGGACGCGGUGGCGCACCUCGGGAUCAAGAACGCCGUGCCGAAGACCAUAAUGCAGCUGAUGAGCGUUGACGGGUUGACCCGGGAGAAUGUGGCCAGUCACCUGCAGAAGUACCGCCUCUAUCUCAGGCGGAUGCAGGGGUUAUCUGGAGGCGGAGGUGGUGGCAGCGGUGCAGAUGCCGCCACUGAGAGAUUAUUUGCAAGCGCGCCAGUGCCGCCCCAUUUCUUGCAUCCCGGCCGUGCGAGUUCAGAUCAUUUCUUGGCACUGCAGCACCACCAGCAUCUGGCAGCAGAGGCUGCCACAGCAGCGGCUUAUCCACAGUACCGAAGGCAAAUGGGCCAUUUUGGGUUACCGCCAAAUGGAGUUGAGCAUCCUCUGUUGCAAAGCAGGCAGGGGCAGAUGGUGCAUGGCAUUGGGGCAACAAUGUCAAUGCACAACCCAAUUCAGUCCUCUGUUGAAGAGUUGGAGUCAGUCAAGGGGAGUGGAGGGAGAAAGGUCCUUACUCUGUUUCCCACCGGAGAAAAUUGAGUUCUUGGGUAAUCAGUAAUUUUCUUCCUCUACGACCUCUCUGUCAUCUGCUUAAAGUUUUAUUUUUUUGGAUUUUGCUGGAGCUGGG